CCACUAGCCCCACUAGCAGCUACUCGAUGCAUUGCACGGAGCAUCCCACGAGCCGCCGCGUGCCCCAGCGACAAACUCCCAACCCGGCGUACCUCGCGUGCCUGCAUACGGCGCUGUGGAGAGGCGUCAGGGGCCGCUGGCCAAUGGUGGGUCGACACGCCGGCCCGCGUUUGCUUUCCUCCCGGCCGUGCCGCGACGUGGUACUACCCCACUCCGAGCUAUAAAAUGCGGCGGAAAACGCCAAGGCCUGCCCCCCUCUCUCUCUCUCUCUCUGCUUGAGGCUGCGGCCGGGAGGCAGCCAAAUGGCGACGCGCGCCUCCACUCCGGUCCUCCGGGAACCUGCGCUGCGCACACACUGCAUGCCUCCAGGCGUCGCCGACUGAGUGCGGGGUCAACUAGCAAACAUUAGCGACGGCCAGGAGGGAGGAGGACGUUUGUAGCUCCAUUGGGCGUGCCGCCGUUGCCGGUGCCGGUGGUGACCGGCACUAGCUAGCUGGAGGCCGGAUGGGCGUUCGCGUCGUACGUGGGGGCCUGGCCGUUCAUCUGAGGUGCGCCGCGUGUCAGGCAGUCUGCAAUACGACCGGCUUACUGAUGCUAUGGAAUAAGCUAGACAAUUCGCAGAAUAAUUGAAUAGGAACCCACUUGUCACUGGCCUACUAAAACAAAAUUCCUCACAAGGAUUUCAUUAUCUUCGGCACGAGUGCUGUCAUAAUGAGGACAUCAAUUCAAGGGACGAGUAAAGCGACGGCGAUACCAUUGAGAUGAUGGAGUUGAUGAAUUUAGGCAUGUUUGUUGAGGUUUCAUUGAAGUGACAUAGUAGAAAGGACUGAAUACUGAACGACCUACAUCUUUAUUUGUGAGAAAUAAUUAAAUGUUUAGUUAGUGACUUUUCAGACGACUCAAAGUAAUGUUAGUGUUUUUUCAGACGACUCAAAAUAUACUAUAUAUAGGGAUUAACGAAUAUUUGCCAAUGAACAUUCCGUUUUAGGGUAUUUGUCGAGAUUAUUACAAAUAUAAUAGUUGUUGUUAUAUUUUUUUUGAGUCAUAUGAAACGUCAUGUAGUUCUAGUAGAUUUUUUUGUUUACCAAUUAAAAAAUUCAGUUAUGAAAACUAAAAAACAACUAUUUCCUGCUGUUUAUAUUUGAGGUGUUAGCCGAUUCAAUAUUUGACAUGACAAUUCUCUAAAGGGGGGUUGUAAAGUGGUAUGAAAUGUUGUAGUAGUAGGGUUAGGUAGACAUAGGUGGAGAGUUCACUCCUCCGACUGAAUCACCCCUCCAUGGGCCCGAGGGCUCUUUGCCUACCCCAAGACGUUGUCUCCUCGGGGUUCUCCAAGGUCUUAUCUCAAGAGUUUGGGCCUUUGGGGAAGGUGUAUAACGCUACGGCUGCUGCCACCGGUUCCUGGUUGUUAUGCCUAUCGGUAUCUAGACUGGACCCACAGACCAAACUAGUCUUUUCUACGCACUUUGUCUUCACUCAUGCUCACCCGGGAAGAACUUCUUAGUCGGUCAUCCUUCGUCAAAUUACCCCAGGCCAGGCAUGCUUAAUCUAGAGGUUCUUUGGAGAUGAGCUUUCGGAAAAGAAGAUGCACCUUGCUGAUAUGCGUAGUCUAUCAUUCGUAUUAAGCGUGGAUGUCACAUACACCCCCACUCAGAGGAAUCGACGUCCUCAUCGGCCUAGCAAUGACUGUUCUCUUUGGCAAAGUCUAUGCGCUCAGUACCAGCACAUGUGGCAUGUCAUGUGCCAUGACAGGCCACACAUGCCCGUGCCCCUGAGCCACACACGCUCGUGUAACCGCAAGGGCCGGCUCUGAUACCAUUUGUAACACCCUGACAACCAUCAGUGGUCUUGGUCGUUAUGCCAGGUGGGAUCAGCAAUGGCCCCGCAAGUAGUCUUUCCUAGAUACUUUGUCCUCACUCGUGGUCACCCGGGAAGAACUCAGCGGUCGGUCAACCAUCCUCAAAUUACCCCGUGCCAAGCACGCUUAGUCUGAAGGUUCUUUGGAGAUAAGUAUCCAAAAAGAAGGUGCACCUUGUUGAUAUGAGUAGUCUACCAUUGGUAUUAAGCCAGGAUGUCACAAGGUGUUUGACCUAGAGUACAAUACCCAACCAGUAUAGUUACUUGCCCCCUUCAGAUACAUUUUUUCGAGUUUUAAGCUAGGAACCACUAUAAAUUCCUUUUGAACAAUAUUAUUAUCUUCCUUUUAGAUUUAAGAGUGUUUCAUCUUCACAAGCCCUUGCUCGAUAUUUUUCUUUUGUUCCAUAACAUUUGCACUAUUCUUCGAGAAUCGCUAGAACAACUAGAAAAAACAGGAACCUCAACAAGACCUCCCUCUUAUCCACCUAAGAGAUAGUUGAUCUGGAGAGCUAAGACGGUAAGGAUGCCCUUAUUUCCAUUCUUGGCAGAAGAGACCAAUAAUUUCGUGUAGGCCAAGACCACGGAAAAAGUCAAUUUGCCUAACAGAAGCAUAAUCCAUACUAUAGGGCAUUACUUGGUACAAUUAACAGAGUUGUGACAAAUAGGUUUGUGUCACGAAAAAAGAGCCAACCUUGAUUAUCGAACUACCGACUCGGUUCAUCAUGGAUUCAGUGCGAUGAGCUCAAAGAUGGUGAUAGGCGAUUCAAGCAAAAGGGAGGCAUCUAUCCUUGUAGUGGGAGGGGUCUCUAUACUCCGAGGUGGAUCAGGCACAAAAAUUAGCUUAGACCUCCACGAAAGCCUCUACAUAGCUCGAGAAAUAGGCCUACAUGAUGGCCAUUAUGUCUAAAUGGGUGGUACAAGUAUACAACUAAAUAUGCAGCAGAAUAUGUUGAUAUCCUUAAAUUUCCUACUUCAGUAUGACCCGUUACAAAUAUUUUAUCAAACACAAACACAUCUAUAUCACCACAAUGAACAUGGAAGCUUCCCUAGGUCUCGAGCCUCGCCUUAAUGGAAAUCAGUUUUGCACUCCUAAAGCCUUAACAAGAGCACUUCAAAGGUGUAAAAGGGUUGACGCAAGAGCUUGUUCUUGGAUGUGCUCGCCCACCAUGCAAGCAAACUAUUGGGUAGCAUGGAUAUGGUUAGCUCAUGAUAAUGAUCCUCAUCAUCAUUUGUGCAAAUCCUGGAUGAAUGUGAGCCACAAGAAAACCAAAUCCAUGCAAAGACACUUUAAGCACUUGAGAAAGGACUCAUGAGUGUAUUGUCACGGUUGGGAAGCAUCAUCGCCGUCAUGGCCCAUGAAGCAUCCUAUCAAGGGAGUCUUUGAGAACACCCCAAAAGGAGUCGUAAAGGGACACACUAUGGGAGUAGUGCUUCCACACUUCAGAGGUCAUUGGUGACACUGAAUGAAUCCUUUUUCUCCACAUCUUUCUAUAGGAAGGCCUCCUUAUUGGUGGCAUACCAAUGCUUGUCCAUAGUUGGACACAUGCAAGAGGAAAAGGAUGAACUCUAUCUUAAAAGAUAAAUUCUAGUAGAUGAGAAAAUACACUAACAGUGCAUAUAAUCUAGCUAAGGAGUUUUGGUGAUUAAUGGCGAGACAAACAAGGGUACUAAUUAUUUCAUAUUAGGUCACUAUGCUAAGUGGAAACAAAAAUUGGCAACUCCUCAUAAAGAAGUUUGCCCAGAGCUCAAAUAGUUUGUAAUUUUCUAGGAUUUUAGUAGAUCUAAUAUUCCACAUUGAAUCUAAGGAGUACCAUACAACCAAGAGUCACACACAUUAUAACUAGAAUUAACACUUACAAAUCUUCAAGCAAUCCCUCGUGGUUUAAACACUUACUAUCUCAUGACAAACACUUUACGCUUUCCUGAUACCUUCGGGCUAAUCGUUCAAAACCACCUAACAUAGUGAUUUGUGUGAGUUGUUGACUAAACUAGUUGUUUUCCAAAGUUUCUUUUUGAAACUACUUAGUCUUAUCCAUAGCAGAUAGGCUAUGUCGUUAUUCAGACUUCUCUGUUAGGCAUGCUUCCCUUGAGGUUUUCCCUGUCUAGUAGUUCCAAGCUAGUAAGUUUUGCUCCAACCACAAUAUAACUUUGGCACAUUUGAGCGAUGCUUUUUUGGAACCUCCAAUUGGGAUUUAGCCUUCCACCAAGAUGUUUUCAGAGGGUGCUUUGUUAGGUCAAAUACCUCCAUGCAAGAACUAUUCGGUAUUUCCAACUGCCUCCUUUAUGGCUAGACCAUGUUUUUUUAACGUGUGGCACCUCUAAGUUAUCUUCAUCUGAUACCUUCAGCUAGUUGGCUUCCAAAGGUAAUUUUGGACCACCUGGCUCUCCAUUUAGCAACGGAAGGCCUUUCAUUCCUUAAUAUUUUGUCAUUUCUGGUAGUCCAAAUAUUCCAACAUGCAAUAAAAAUAACCUAGACAGAAAAGGCUUUGCAAACUCCUUCCUGGCCUUGUUAGCAAUAGCACACAUAUCAUUUCCACCAGGCCAACAGACUUGUAGAUAAUUCUAGAUCCUCAUACUGAAAUUACACAUGAAGAAACAAAGAUAUGUGUCCUCUCUGGCAUGUGUUGGGCAUAGAAUGCAAUCCAUUACACCAGAUAUAUUCCAGGGCCUUCUUUGCAACAUGUCCUUCAUAUUUAACGUGUCCAUUAUCAUCAUCCAUGCAAACACUUUGAUAUUUAUGGUGCAACAAUUUUUGCAAAUCACAAUAGGAUGGAAUUGGAAAUAUUUGGAGAAUGAACCAAAUCAUAGUACAUUUUAGGUGUAAAACCAUCAUAGUUUCUCCAAAGCAAACAUCAUUUUUAUCUGGUUGCCUAUUCAGAGAGGAUAGCAUCUGCUGAAUAUCAUGCAAUUCCUGAUAAGCAACAUCAGAUAGGGGUAGAUGAAACAAUGAUAAAAUGUCAUCGCAUUCCAACACCUCCUUCAUAGUGAUGUAAGGAUCUUUAGCAUAAGAGAAAAGCCUCACAGUGAUGUAAGGAUCUUUAGCAUAAGAGAAAAGCCUCACAGUGAUGUAAGGAUCUUUAGCAUAAGAGAAAAGCCUCUGGAAGCUUUGUUGUAAAGGAAUAACAGGCCUGGAGUGCUGCAAGAAAUCAUUCCAGAAAAGUAUUGUGUCACCUUUGUUUACUUUUACCCAUGUGACAUUCCUGAAACCAUCAACCAAGUUGAGAAUGUCCUUCCACCAGUGAGAACCACAGGCAAGAAUAAAGGCAUGGAGGACACGGCAGAAUUAAGCAGCUGCAAUCGCCACCUUGGUCUAAGAAGGAUGAGCUUGCAAUCAACCUCCUCUACAUACAAUCAACCAAAGGCAGCAACUCCAAAAUCCUAGGCCUAGUAGUGCCCACAAAGAGACCUAGAUAAGUAAAAGGCAGCUUUCCUAGUUGGCAACCAAAAACUCCAGCAAGCCUUGAAGCCUCCUCUUCAUUAAUAUUAAUUGGCAGUAAUGGAGAUUUAUGAUAAUUAACUGCAAGGCCAGUAGAUUUGGUCAAUGUAGCUAGCAGUUUCUUCAAAGCAAAAAAGGUGAGAGUCCACAACAGGCAGGAUUAUAAGUGUGUCAUCGACAUAUUGGAUUAUGCGAAACUCUUUGUCAUGGCAUGGUAUGGGGAGAUGCGGCUCACCCCUUCGAAGCAUCAUGUUUACGAUAGACUGCAAUAAACCAGCAACAAGCACAAAAAGAAGGGGGUAGAGGAUCUCAUUGCCCGACCCCUCUAUGCCAUUUAAAAUGCCUUCCAGGUGUAGAACUGCACGCACCAGCCAGUUCACCCAAACGCUCAAGCUGGUGGAGAAAGGAGGGCUAUGCAUUUAUACGUCAACACUCCCCCUCACGUGUUGCUCCCUCAAGCCUAAACGUGGACCGAAAGUGGGCUGCAAUUUAGUUGCACCAGCUGGGUCUUGAACUCAAGACCACUUGGCUCUGAUACCAUGCAGAACUGCACGCACCAAUCAGUUCAGCCAAAAGCUCAAGCUGAUGGAGAAAGGUGGGCUAUGCAUUUAUAUGUCAACACCAAGUACACCAAUAAGUAGUAUUGAUGAGGUUUCAGAAGCUAGAAAUUCCUUAAUCCAUGAGAUCCACCUGAGAUCAAAACCCCGAGCUUGAAGGAUUUGGAGGAUGGCCUCAUGUUUAAUUGUGUCAAAUGCCUUCUCAAAAUCAAGCUUUAAUAUCACAAUGGGUCUCUUAGACUGGUGUAGAUAUUCCAAAGUCCAGGACAAACUGUCUUGAACAGUUUUAGACAUUAUAAAACCAUACUGAUUCUUGUGCAUAGUCCAUGAUGACACCCUAAAGCCUUCAAGUUCUGGAGGAGCCAAUAGUUUGUACAAGGCCAGAGAUCGCCUACUCCGUGAGGAGACCUACCCCGAGUUAGGCUUGGACCGGGUGUCCAUGGUCAUGGCGAUAGGUGGGCUUUAGACCUUGGCGGUUGGAAAUCAAGGCCUUUGUGAUCUUAGGACUUAAUUGGUGUUUGAUCCUCCACCAAUGUGGGCGUAUGAUGAUUGCACCAAUACAUCUUCGUGUUUGGAAGCCCUAUCUCUUGCCCCCUUUACUUGUUGCAAGUUUUGCUUCCACAUUACUCUCUUAGAUACAUAAACGAUCCUACAUGUAGCCCAAAUGUUAUAGCUUGUGUUGCGUGAGCGGAAGUAGGUUCAAAUUGAGAAAAUGUAAAUCUACUAACAUGGCAAGGAAAACUUCCCUCCAUCAAGUUUUGUACAUAAUGGCACAAUAGAAUUAUGUCCUUAGGAACUAAGAAGAAAUACACCUAAAGAAAUCGCCAAUGGGCAUGGCAGUUGAUACACACAAAAAGUGGCUAGGGGGCAACAUCUUGUAAGAUAGCCUUGAACAUCCCCUCAUGAGCCAAGGUAGGUCCACAUUUUGCAGAAAUUAAAUUCCUUUUUAUAUACCUCCAGGCAUUUGUUUGUUUGUAAGUCUGAGGGCUAAUGGGUAAUGUUUGCUUCAGAAAGGAAGCAUUGUGCCAAUCCAUACCCAUUAGGACUUGAGUUGGGUUUAGGCCUCAUAAACUAGGCCAUUUCCACGAGGAUAAACCAAGUUCCUCAAAAAAUAUAAUUGAAGUAGCAUUACAUCAAAAACCAUCACACUCUCCAAGGCCCUCGUAACCUACGAGCUCAGGUUGCCCAUUGGCUCCUUUGAUUGUUGGUGUGCCCAGACAACCUGGUGAAUGUGCACACUAGCAUACUAGAGAAGAGGGGGGGAGACCAUGACCAUGUGGGUAGCUGCAACUCAAGGACCUCUUCACCUUAUUGUACCAUGCGUCAUUGUGGAUCCCUUGAGCAUUGAAGGAGAGGACAUCAAAGCACAAGAAUUAUGACAAAGCAAGUAUUAUGGCAAAACUAGAUGACUUGAGAAGAGGAAGGGCGCCAUGAUGACAUGGGUGGCUACAACUCGGGGGCUUUGAGGUGGUUUCAUCACACACACACACACACACACACAUAUAUAUAUAUAUAUAUAUUGGACGCCACAAUCAUGAACAACAAAAAUGGUUCUAGUGUCAAAGAUAUGAGGGUAUCCAAGAUGAAAGGAGUAAGAACACAAAAUAUGAUAUGUGACAAUGGGUUCUACUUGAGAUAGAAUCAUUUGGUGGAGGGGGUUGGCGUAAGAAUGAAGUUUGCCACAAGACACAAGUCGAACUUACAACCUAAAUAAAGACAUGACUUAAAUGACCAAAAGUACACCUUAAACAUCACAAUGUCUUGUCAAGUUACCUUCUGAAGUUUGGAUCGAAGUCUACAUUAGAUUAUAAGAAUAUAUAGACUAGAAUUGCUAAGGAAAACCAUAACAUUUCAUCAACACAAUAUAUCCUAACACUGAAAUUUCUCCAUAUAAAAGACUAAAGUUUAGCUUUAAAUAUGCAGGCUUGGGGACAAAACCCAAUAAAAGCUUUAUCUUUCCUAAUCAAUAGGUUCGUAUUUUUAUGAAUGCAUAGAAAUACAUGAAAAAACACUUAAUUAUAUUAACAUGAAAUUUGGUGAAGGGAGUGAAAAUUAGUGCAACACCAUAUAUUCUCUUUUAUAAAACAACUAAUUCUUCAUAUAUUAUUAAAAGUUUACUUUGUGGUCAAUAUUGAAAAGCAUAGAUACACUCGGGUGACUCUUUAUAAGGUAGAAUAUAUUAAAAUUUUGUAUGUAUCACUAAAGUUAUUUUCAACCAAGUAAAAGGAACAUCUUACGAAAUUAAACUUCAAAUAUGAAAGGAGUUCACACUGAAGUACUAAAAAUUGCAAUAUUCACUUGAAAAGCUAGUUUACAAAGGAAAAAUGUUCAAACGAAAUCAAGUGUCUAUAUAUGAAAGAAUCAUGCGAACAAAGAAUAUUGGUACAUG